GGGGAAAUUAUGACUUUAUAUGACAAGAAAUUGCAAAUUAGUCUUUGCUGACUAUGAUAUGUUUUUUUUUUGGUUUUCGCGUUCUUGUCUGACAGUUGAGUUUUUCAUUAAAAGUUUUUAGUUCCUUUCGACAAAAUUGAACAUAGCAUUAUUCUUACUACAUUUGUAUAAACUUCAAGAUUAUAAUUAUUUUUUUUAAAACCGGUUUUUUUCUAAAGUGAAUAUUGAUCAAUAUUUUCGAAGGGUUAAAUAUUUCUCAGUGAUGUCCUGCCAUGGCUUUGUUUAAAUUUGUUUGUUAGCUUUUUGUUCAUGAAUUUUUGUCUCUAAUAUUUAAUUAACUAUGCAUUUGUAUUCAGAUGUUGCAGAUCAAAUAUAUUCGUUCAUUGUGUAAUCAUACGUUUUUUGAUUGAGUUAAGUCUACCAAUUGAUAUUUUAUCGUGUGUUUUUCUAUGUUGUGAUGUUAUGCUAUUGUUUCAGAAAAAGGGAGAAGGUUUGGAUCCAUUAAAACGUUUAAUCCCGCUGCAAAUGUUUGCACCUGUCCUAAGUCAGGAAUCUGAUGUACAGUAGUUGUCGUUUGUUUAUGUAAUAUAUACGUGUUUCUCGUUUCUCGUUUUGCUUAUAUAGAUUAGACCGUUGGUUUUCCCGUUUGAAUGGUUUUACACUAGUAAUGUUGGGGCUCUUUAUAGCUUGUUGUUCGGUGUGAGCCAAGGCUCCGUGUUGAAGGCCGUAUACUUUAACCUAUAAUGGUUUACUUUUUAAAUUGUUAUUUGGAUGGAGAGUUGUCUCAUUGGCACUCACACCACAUCUUCCUUUUUCUAUAGCACCUUUUGAAGUCUUACGCAAACGAUGCGCCUGUUUUCCCUUCACAGGACAUUCACUGAUAUAUUGUAGACGAAAUGCGCGUCUGGCGUAAAUAUAAAAUUUAAAUACUGGUAUCUAUGAUGAGUUAAAACUUAAAAUGCAACCACUGAGUCGACGCCAUUGCUGGUAGAGAUUUAUUUCCCCGAGGGUAUCACCAGCCCAGUAGUCAGCACUUGUGUUGACUUGGCUUAUCAUUGAUAUAAUCUUAUAAAUUAACACCGUUUUGAAUUUUUGAAAAAACUAAGGUUUUUCUACACCAGGAAUAGACUGCCUUACCUGUAUUUUGCAAAACUACUAGGAAUGUUAUGUUCUCAAUGUUCUUCAACUUCGUCCUUUAUUUUGGCCUUUCAAUCAUUAUUUUGAUUCGAGCGUCACUAAUGAGUCUUUGU
rnacentral:lncRNA from 1 species